GAGAGAGAGAGAGGACAGAAGUGAGAGAAAAACUUUUUUCUUCCUCUGCAGUGCGGUCUACCGUUGAGAGGAUGUGGGGUUUACGUGACAUGCUUUUAUUUGAUGCCGUUGUUUGGAGUAAAUAGGAUGUACCUACGGGAAGAUAUAUAUGUGAAAUUGCAUAUGUGAAUUUUUGUAUAUUUAUGCAUAUGAAAUUGUUCCAAAUUUUAUGAACUCUAAACUGUAUUUGAGAUGGAAACCGAUCAUUCCAAGCUUCAAAAAAUGAGGCUUCAAUGACUAACCCAUAUCCUCAUAUCCUCGCUAGCUAAUUCUUGAUCAUGCCUUCAGAAAAUAAGAUCAAUAUUUGUUGUUUAGAUAGCUUCUUGUUAUUUUCUACAUACGUAUAGGCUUAAUUGAGAAGUACGUACGUCCAAUGAGAGAUGUAGAGGCACCUUUGUUGAAGUUUCAGCAAAUGCAUAAGGACUCAAUUAUUGUUUUCUAGCUAUCCUCAUUAGAAUUUUACAGGAGUUGUAACCUAAAACACAACUGAGAUCUUUGAUACUUCUAUGAUACUCAUGAUUCAAUCUAGAUAUUUGAUAUUUCAAAAAAUGGCACCUACAUGACGAUCGAGACUAGUUGUGACCUUUAAUGAUUCGAUCAGCUGACAACCUCUCACUGUUUCUUUCUCCAUCAGCCGGCAACCUUCUUCAAGGAGUAGGAGUUGCUCUUCUCCAUUCUUGGUGCCACUGCAGUCUGGGGAACAGAGGCAGUGGCUAAGGUAGGUGGGGGGCUUGGGCAUGGGCCGUGGUGGUCUAAGGCAAUUGAUGGUGGCGCGAGGAGGGCAGGAGGCUGCGAGUUGAGAGACAUAAUGGGAGAGGGACACUGGGCUAGGGUUGAGCAGUGGUGGACUGGGGUGGCUCGAUUGGGAGGAGGCCCACGGUGGCUCAUGGUGGCCCUACAAGUGAUUGUGGACGAUGGGGCUAGGCAUGGGUACACAGAUCUGUCUAGAUCCGAGAGGGAGAGAGAUCCAAUGGGAGGGAAAGGGCUUGCCACCGUACGUUGGUGGUCGGCAUGGGGAGAUCGGUGGCAUUAAAGCUGACGGGGUUGGGCCCAGUGGGUGGUGCAUGGUGGCGAUACAAGGAUCUAAUGAGAUUUGAUAGAUAGAGAGAGGGCUUCGAGAGGGGAGAGAGAAAAGGACCUACGGUGAGGAAGUUGUCAGUGACAACGUGCUUGUGGUACCGUUGAUGUGUGGCAACAACUGGCUGAGGAGAGGUGGCGUGAAGGAGAAAUCGGGGAGAGACAAAUGGUUUUACUGAUCUUGGGUUUUGAGGAAUUUUAGUUGUUCAUUAUUUGAGCCACUUUGGUUUUUAUCCUGAUCUAUUUUCUUGCUGGGAAAUGUGAAAA